rnacentral:lncRNA from 1 species
UCCAUUGCAUCAGUUACUUCCAAGUUCCUGCAAAGCCGCCGUCUUUGCGACGCAGUUGGGUUUGUGCUCGGCCUUCAACAGAGAAGAUCCGUGCCCUGAAAAAUAAGGGUUAACGCAAUAAGCCUUAACAUUGGAAGCGGCUACAGUUUUAGCCUCAGUGGAUCCAGUUUCGAUCCUGAGGCAUGAAUUGUGGUGGACAAUGAAUGAACAAGCAAACGUCACAAUGAUCACUGAACAGCAGCAGCAGGAUUUAAGUGAAAUAGCUCCUGAUGAUUAGCCCACUGUCUGCACAUCAUUUCCUUUGGUUCAGCUGCGUCGUCCACCAGGAUGAACUGCGAAUCAUCCACUCUAUAACCGAGGAAGCGUUCGCAGUUAUUUGAAGUCGGGCUUCUGUCGUCCUGAUAAAUGCGCUGCAUCUGAAAUCGGAUUUUUCUUUGCCUCUGCUAAGUCAUGAGGGAAAUAUGCGCUCCUCGCCGCCUCCCGUUCGGCGCUGGGCAGGUGAUGGGCGCCAGGUUCAUCGCUGCUUCCCGUUGACACAGCUGCCUGCUGUGUCUGGGAGUGAGGCUGAUGAGCGAGGCAUGAAUGAAGCGGCACGGGCUGUGAAGCUCUACACGGAGCUGACGUGAGUAACACGGUGUUUCUCCGAGCAUCCUGCUAUUAUGAAAGCUUUCAUAGUACAGUACAUGUUGUAUUGCUGCUCUGCGAAUUAGCCUUGAGAGACAGUUCACAUAUUUAUAAAAUAACCUAAUAUCUAUACACCUGAGUAAUGUGAGGACUGCAUCUGCAAUUCAUACCUUAAAUAUUUGUAUGACCGAAAAAUAAUUUAUUUUCUAUUUGCCUUUUUCUUUCUUAUGUCUUAUGUCAGACUGUGACCAGUUUAUCAAAUCGCUGGUUCACAUGUUAUUUGUCUUUUUGUGUUUGUAAAGAUGGAUCCAUGAAUAAAAUCAUUAAGAACUACAAUGACACCACCUUAAAAGCAAUGUGUGCCUGGUUGUCUGACAGUCAUUGAAUAUGGACUGACUGAAGGCUCUUUGUGUCCACUCUGCUGCCUGCUCUCCCCCCUCCCCUCCUGUGCCAACCCCCCCACCCUUAGCAUCACAUCGCCUCCAGCGCUGGAAGGUCCACAGCUCUGGAAGUUCAAGGGAAAAUCAGCCACCGUCCGUCGCGACAUCCUUCCAAGAUGCAAACGAAGCCUCAACUCAGACUCAGACUCAGACUCAGACUCAGACUCAGACUCAGACUCAGACUCAGACUCAGACUCAGACUCAGACUCUGACGUGCAACCCGGUUUGCAUGUGCAACGGCUGCACUGCAGCUAUUUCCUCCAGAGGGGACGGAGAUGAAUCAGCAUCUGAACUGCGCUGAGAAAGGUCAAGGGAUGAGAUGAGUGUCACUUUUGAGGAAAAAAAAGCCCAAACUCCAGGCGUCUGCUUGACGAGUGCAGAUUCGUUGAGAGGAGCAGCUUCGGCGGGUGUCGUUCCGUUGCCCAAGGACGGCUCAGUUUGCCUUUGUGUGUAGCCUUUCACUCCUGCAUCCCCUGUAGCAGGAGUGAGGAGCUCCUGCGCUGGCACCUAAGUUGAAAUGACACGCCAAUUUACCACUCCCCAAGAGAGGAAUUAGGAAGGUUGCCGCAUGCAAAUCACAGCUGUGACAGUGGCAGCAUCCUUAAACCAGAAAUGUGGACAGAUGAAAGGCUGCUCACUGUUAGAGUGACCUAAACCUAAAACCAUUAUGAGCAGGAAUUAGCUAGCUAGAACGUCCCUUUGCAGGCUGCAAGUCAUUCUCCUCACAGAUGAAACAGUAUUGAUAUGCUAAUAUUAAAUUCUUGUUCACAUCUGUGUUAUUUAAUUACCACUGGACCUGCUGGCUGGACUGCAGGCCACAUUAAAGCUGUAACUGGGCUCCAUGAAGGUCCCUGACACUAGAAGGUAAUAAACAGCCUCAGAUGAGGGUGGAUGGUCCCA